rnacentral:misc_RNA from 1 species
GACGUCAUGCCGAGCUCACGUGACUUGUUACAUACAGUUCGAGUACUGGGGGUUGGAGAAGGCAGCAUCAGUGCAUUCAAACGUUCGAAAGAAAGAGAGGGGUAAGACACAAACGAACAGUUAGAAACAGGCAGAAUCAGUACAAUGUCGAAAUAUCUAUCGGAAAUACCAUAAAAAUGUUUUUCUUGAAAAAUACAACAUCGCUACAACAUAGAAAAUUGGACAGAUAUCAAAGAAUUUUAAAGUUCUAUGAUAUAUAAAGUACUGUAAAAUACAGAUUGAGAUAAUAAGCUACCAAAAUGCCUGUUCUUAAACAAGAUUUUUUUACUAGCCUGCUCAAUCCACGACAGCUGAUCAGUUCGUCUCCAAGAAGCACUCCAGAUUUAAGAACGUUGGAUAAUCAGGAUUGUGUUAGGAUAGAAGCCAACCCUGGUGCACUUCCCAUUAUUUCCCUACCGGAUGAAUUGGAUCCUCUUAUGUCCGACGGACUUGACUUACAGCCUCUUUUACCUGACAAAAAGGUACAUCGAGGUAGAAAAAAAUGUAAACGUAACGGCAUAAAUAGGUCUCAGUCUAUGCGGAACUCUAGGCAACCCCAGUCGGCUACUUCUUCAAGAAAAUUUCGCUCGAGAAUAGCUAGCAUUCCCACCGAACAUAGUGUACUUCCUGGAAGUUCGGCUCCACUCCGUUCAUCUUCUGACCAUUCUCUCGCGUUAUUAGGAGCCGAUAGCGACUUCCAACGACUCCGAAACUUUUACGUGACUCCUAAAGGACUUGUCAACCGAGGGGACUCCUUCCGCUGCAAAUCUCGUAGCGCCCACAGUGUAUCGUCCAUAGGGUCGCAAUAUUUUCCGUCUACGACUCCUCCAGGAUCGCCCAAUAUUUAUCUCUCUUUACCCGAAGUUCCCAAAGCCUUAUCUAUUACUGUCACCGACACGGAAAGGCACAGAGUGCUAGUGGUGGGAGCGUCAGAGGUUGGAAAAUCUUCCUUAACCACCCAAUUUACAACUUCCGUAUAUAUGUGUGCCUAUGACAACUCUCAGGAUGAAGAAAAUGAAAAAUCUGUGACCGUUGUUUUGAAUGGAAUGGAGUCAGAAUUGGUUUUUGUUGAAUGUACCGCCCAAGACUUUUUAGACAAAGUUAAAGACUCGCCAAGCUCUGCUACUAAUUACGACGCCUACGUGGCGGUUUACUCUGUUACAAAUAAAAGAAGUUUUCGGAAAACGAAGGAAAUCAUUAAUAAUCUGAUGAUUAUGGACAUCACCAGUAAUGCUAAAGCAGCGAUUCUAGUAGGGAACAAAACGGAUCUUGUAAGGCUACGAAAGGUUUCCAUGAAAGAAGGACAAGAUCUGGCAACUGCACACAGCUGGAAAUUUAUCGAGACAUCAACUGGAAUUAACCAUAAUGUGGAUGAGCUCUUGGUUGGAAUCCUCAGCCAGAUCCGACUGAAAUGUCAGCAACAGGAGAGAUUAAAGAAACAGAGAGAAUCAGUGACACUUACGGUCCCAAGCAUGUUUUCGUUCUGCACUGGUGGCAAAACAAAAGUUUUUAUCAAGAAGAUUUUAGAGAAGACUGUCCUGAAAUCAAGAUCUUGUGAUAACCUCCAUAUUUUGUGACCGUCUUUGAGAAUUAUUCUUCAUGGCCCAAAUUACUUUGAAAUCUGCAUGAAUCCAUACCAUAUGACAUUGUGCAGCAAAGUCACUUACUUAAAACCUUGUUGGAGCAGUUUUGAUUUAAAUCAAAUGUUAAUUCCUGUGGAUAUUAUGACACUAGUGAGCCAACCCCAUACGGGAGUAAGUCUAGUGAAGAUUCUUAGGACUCCAAAUUCCAUUAAAAUUCCAAAAUGGGUUAAAAUUAUUAUGAGUAUCGUCUUACUAUUGAAAACAAAUAAUCUCAUUAUGAAACAGAAUUGAUCUUACACAUUGCUUUAUCCAUUUAGUUUAGCUAAGUGAGUCAAUCUAUGUGUAAAUCACGUGUCGAAUGUAUUAAAACUUCUGUCAGAUCCUUGUCGCGACGCUAUGAUAUUCCAUAUUUACCGCAAAUGUUAGGCUAAUGAGGUUGUUGUAAUGAGGUUGUAGGUAGAGACUCAAACCUUCUGUCUGUAGAACACAAUUAUAGAAUUUUUGUUAACAUGAUUUUCAGACAACCCGUAUACUUAAAGACUAAAUAUCUGCAAAAAAAAAAAGUAAAUGUGAGUAUAUCCUUAGAGAUUAUAUCGGUACAAAGCAAUACUUAAAAUAAUUGGGCUGUUAUGUGACAUUUUCGUUUUGAAUAUCGAUUGUAUUCAAUGAAAUUAAGCGAAAAUUUCUAUAAGUUGAUACAACCACGUUACCAAAGUACAGGAAACUAUAUGCAUGUUUAUUAUAGUUUAGUAUUUCUCUGUAUAUAUAUAUGAAAACAAAACCAGCAAUAUUUCCAUUAAAUCAAUGGGUCCUGAAAUUAUUUCUCUGUCACUCGGUAAUUUACGACGAAAAUAUUUGAAUUAUUUUUUUAAUAUCAGCAACAACGUGCUUUAUAAUUCUGCCUUACAAACUUAACAUUUGUGUGUAAUGUUAUUAAGUUUCUUUGAAGUAAUUGAUAAUCUACUACAAAAACAUAUUGCAUACCGCAGUAUUUGAGUUUCCUGAUUAAGAUAAAAAUCAAUUGUUAGUUUUUUAUUUAUCAAUCAUCCUUAAUUUUUAGCUCCUUUCGAAAAAAAAAACGGUGUGCGUUAUCUGCGCUCUCUCUGUUCAAGUUUAUAACAUAUUAUUAGAUAAUUUGAGAUUAUCGAUAAUUUCACGUGAUGUUUUAUUUAAAGCUUUUUUUUAUUUAUUCGCUACUCAGUUACUUAAAAUGAAUGUAUCUGAUAAAACGUUCGUUAAUAUUUUCUGAUUGUCCUAUAGGAACAUUAGGAAACAUUACAAUAUAUAUAUACUGUUACCAAAAACCAGUAAAGACUGUUUCUAACACGUUCACGUAAGCGUAACUAGGCAUUUAAAAAUACUAUUGGAAAGAAACACCAAAAACUUGUUCGUACGCACGCACAUAUAAAUACACACUCGGAUGACAUACUCUGAAAAUGUAUUUUUCAUCACAAUAUACAAACAAGCCAUGCAAAGUUAAACAACAUAACUAUAGGAAUACUUGGACUAGGUACGGACACUAUACCACAUAACUAUAGGAAUACUUGGACUAAGUACUGACACUAUACCACAUAACUACAGGAAUAUUUGAGCUAGGUACUGACACUAUCCCACAUAACUACAGGAAUAUUUGAGCGAGGUACUGAUACUAUACCACAUAACUGCAUGAAUAUUUGAGCUAGGUACUGACACUAUCCCACAUAACUACAGGAAUAUUUGAGCGAAGUACUGACACUAUACCACAUAACUAUAAGAAUACUUGGACUAGGUACUGACACUAUACCACAUAACUACAUGAAUACUUGAGCUAGGUACUGAUACUAUACCACAUAACUACAGGAAUAUGUGAGAUAGGUACUGACGCUAUUCCACAUAACUACAGGAAUAUUUGAGCGAGGUACUGACACUAUACCAUAUAACUACAGGAAUAUUUGAGCUUGAGCUAGGUACUGACACUAUACCACAUAACUAUAGGAAUACUUGAGCUAGAUACUGACGCUAUACCACAUAACUACAGGAAUACUUGAGCUAGGUUCCUGACAACAUACUUCAUAAAUAUAAGAAUACCUAAGCUAGGUGCUGAAACUAUACCACAUAACUAUAAGAAUAUUUGAGCAAGGUACUGAUACUAUAUCACAUAAUAGCUAUAAGAUUGCUUGAUAUGGUUACUGACGCUAUACCACACAACUAUAAGAAUACUUGAGCUAGUUACUGACUAUACACCACACAACUAAAAGAAUACUUGAGUUAGGCACUAAUAAAGCCCUUGGUAGGUUUUAUUUAUGUUAGUAUUUUUCAACUCUCGUAGUUUUUAACUCUUUUGACAUGAAAAAUAUUGACACGACUCUGGCUCUGACGUCAGCACAAUGCAAUAAUACUUAUCAUUUCAUAAUGAAUCUAUCUAUGACAGACAUAUUAUCAUUGGUGAAUUGCUAAUAAUUUUAUUAAUUGUACCUGUGGGAUUUUCACAACCUACCCGUUUAGUGAGUCUUUAAUUUAUUGCUCAACUCAAUUAUAAUUAACGAUUAACACUGUAUUAAUACUUAAUACAAAUUAUACAACGUGAUCAAAAUAGCUUAACUAAAACACGUUACAGAAACGAAGAUUUAAUAUAAAUAUAUAUAAAAGUCAAAUAACAUAUAACAAGUCUAAGUUUUACA